GCAUAAUACAGGUCCGUCGGUGCCCGUUGGGCCUAACAGGGAACACAGCGAAAACUUUGUGGCUGCCCCCGCAAUUGUACGCAGCGAGUCCGCGCUCCACUGCCACUGGUUUUACCGGGAAGGCCGGCGCGAAUAUAGACCUGCCAGCCAAGAGACCUGCCGACUCACCGCAUUCGCG
rnacentral:ncRNA from 2 species